UUUGCUUCACAAUUGGAAGAAUGUCCUGUUGUUAACAGUUUGGUCAUCUGUAGAGAGAAGCAUAGAUGAACGGAAACACCAGCCAGCAUUAAACAACAUGGUGCUUUAUCAAACUGCGUCAUGUUACCUGUCUUCUGGCACAUUU
rnacentral:snoRNA from 1 species